UUUAUAGUAGCGUGUGAAUUGAAACUCAUUGUUGUUAUUGUUAGUGCGUGAGACACUUUUAGUGAGGAGAGAAAGAAUGAGAGAUAAUGAAAAUAAGGAUUGAUAUUAUUGAAUUAUUAUUGUACAAAUUGAAUUAUAAAAUAUGUCUAUUUAUAUACAACUAACUUGUCUACUAAGUAACAAAUCCUGAACCCUAACUAACUUUGGGCUUGGGCUACACAACUUGG
rnacentral:lncRNA from 1 species